CCUACGGGGGGCAGCAGUGAGGAAUAUUGGUCAAUGGCCGGAAGGCUGAACCAGCCAUGCCGCGUGAAGGUCAGUGCCAUAUGGGCGUUAAACUUCUUUUGUGCGGGAGCAAUAAUGGUCACGUGUGGCCAGACGAGAGUACCGUACGAAUAAGCAUCGGCUAACUCCGUGCCAGCAACCGCGGUAAUACGGGGGAUGCAAGCGUUAGCCGGAUUUAUUGGGGUUAAAGGGUGCGGAGGCUGUGAGGUAAGUCAGCGUGGAAAUGCCGCCGCUCAACGGGGUGAAGGGCCAUUGAUACUGCCUGGCUGGAAUGCGGAUGCCGUGGGAGGAAUGUGUGGUGUAGCGGUGAAAUGCAUAGAUAUCACAAAGAACACCGAUUGCGAAGGCAUCUCACGAAUCCGCGAUUGACGCUGAUGCACGAAAGCGUGGGUAUCAAACAGGAUUAGAUACCCGUGUAGUC
rnacentral:rRNA from 1 species